rnacentral:rRNA from 1 species
AUUGAACGCUGGCGGCAUGCUUUACACAUGCAAGUCGGACGGCAGCACAGAGAAGCUUGCUUCUUGGGUGGCGAGUGGCGAACGGGUGAGUAAUAUAUCGGAACGUACCGAGUAAUGGGGGAUAACUAAUCGAAAGAUUAGCUAAUACCGCAUAUUCUCUGAGGAGGAAAGCAGGGGACCUUCGGGCCUUGCGUUAUUCGAGCGGCCGAUAUCUGAUUAGCUAGUUGGUGGGGUAAAGGCCUACCAAGGCGACGAUCAGUAGCGGGUCUGAGAGGAUGAUCCGCCACACUGGGACUGAGACACGGCCCAGACUCCUACGUGAGGCAGCAGUGGGGAAUUUUGGACAAUGGGCGCAAGCCUGAUCCAGCCAUGCCGCGUGUCUGAAGAAGGCCUUCGGGUUGUAAAGGACUUUUGUCAGGGAAGAAAAGGCUGUUGCUAAUACCGACAGCUGAUGACGGUACCUGAAGAAUAAGCACCGGCUAACUACGUG